rnacentral:rRNA from 1 species
AGUGAACGCUGGCGGUAGGCCUAACACAUGCAAGUCGAACGGCAGCACAGUAAGAGCUUGCCCUUACGGGUGGCGAGUGGCGGACGGGUGAGGAAUACAUCGGAAUCUACUUUUUCGUGGGGGAUAACGUAGGGAAACUUACGCUAAUACCGCAUACUACCUACGGGUGAAAGCAGGGGAUCUUCGGACCUUGCGCGAUUGAAUGAGCCGAUGUCGGAUUAGCUAGUUGGCGGGGUAAAGGCCCACCAAGGCGACGAUCCGUAGCAGGUCUGAGAGGAUGAUCGGCCACACUGGAACUGAGACACGGUCCAGACUCCUACGGGAGGCAGCAGUAGGGAAUAUUGGACAAUGGGCGCAAGCCUGAUCCAGCCAUGCCGCGUGGGUGAAGAAGGCCUUCGGGUUGUAAAGCCCUUUUGUUGGGAAAGAAAAGCAGCAGGUUAAUACCCCGCUGUUCUGACGGUACCCAAAGAAUAAGCACCGGCUAACUUCGUG